rnacentral:tRNA from 3 species
GCCCCCGUAGUUCAAUGGAUAGAAUGUCAGGCUUCGAACCUGAAGGUGGGAGUUCGAUUCUCUCCGGGGGCA